rnacentral:misc_RNA from 1 species
CCGAGUUAGGGUCGCCUCUGUGCGCCCGACCUCCCAACCCUGUGUCUAUGUUACCUCUCAGUUGCUUCGGCGCGACCGUCCCCUCGGGACGCCGGACCUGUACUGGUCUGGAGAGCGUCCGCCGAUGGCCACAACCAAAACUCUUGACCUAAACACCUGUCGUCUGAAUUAAAUUUGUUAAAUAAAUCA